rnacentral:rRNA from 1 species
AUUGAACGCUGGCGGCAUGCUUUACACAUGCAAGUCGAACGGCAGCGCGGGCUUCGGCCUGGCGGCGAGUGGCGAACGGGUGAGUAAUGCAUCGGAACGUGCCCAGUAGUGGGGGAUAGCCCGGCGAAAGCCGGAUUAAUACCGCAUACGACCUGAGGGUGAAAGCGGGGGACCGAAAGGCCUCGCGCUAUUGGAGCGGCCGAUGUCGGAUUAGCUAGUUGGUGGGGUAAAGGCUUACCAAGGCGACGAUCCGUAGCUGGUCUGAGAGGACGACCAGCCACACUGGGACUGAGACACGGCCCAGACUCCUACGGGAGGCAGCAGUGGGGAAUUUUGGACAAUGGGGGCAACCCUGAUCCAGCCAUGCCGCGUGCGGGAAGAAGGCCUUCGGGUUGUAAACCACUUUUGCUCGGGAAGAAAUCCUCUGGGCUAAUACCCCGGGGGGAUGACGGUACCGGAAGAAUAAGCACCGGCUAACUACGUG